rnacentral:rRNA from 1 species
UACGAAGGGGGCUAGCGUUGCUCGGAAUCACUGGGCGUAAAGCGUCUGCAGGUGGUUUCCUAAGUCCACUGUUAAACCUUGAGGCUCAACCUCAAAUCUGCAUUGGAAACUAGGAGACUUGAGUAUAGUAGGGGUAGAGGGAAUUUCCAGUGGAGCGGUGAAAUGCAUAGAUAUUGGAAAGAACACCGAUGGCGAAGGCACUCUACUGGGCUAUUACUGACACUCAGAGACGAAAGCUAGGGGAGCAAAUGGG